UAGGGUUGGAUUUUAAUCAUAGAAACAAAUUGUUCUCUCAAGCAAGUCAAAGUCUCAAACGUAUUUUCUCCUCUCCCUUCCCUGCGCCGCUCGUUGUCUGCUCUGCACUUGUACAGUAAAGAUCUUCCCGUUGCUUUCGUUCUCUUGGCCAUCGCCUCGCCUUCCCGUUUUUUGCACUUCUACAGCCACAGCCACAGAUGCGGGACGGAUUCGGGUACUUUAAUUAUUAACGGGUUCGGAUUCGCGUAGAUUGUUUUUGCGGGUCCUCUGCCCCGCUGCCAUCCCUAGUUCAGACAAUUAACUAACUUUAAUUAAUUUUAACUUUUCUUUCGCAAUAAUUUGUCCAUAUAGGUAUGACAUAUAUAUGUUAUUUUUUAAUUUAGUUAGUCUAUGUAUAAGGACGUAUGCCAAUAAUUUAGGUCCAACGUUCACGGAGACAAGCUUCUCCAACUUCUAUAACAAUCUUAGCAACUAAGAGAGAACAUUCUGGAAAA